rnacentral:rRNA from 1 species
UGGGGAAUAUUGGGCAAUGGGCGAAAGCCUGACCCAGCAACGCCGCGUGAAGGAAGAAGGCUUUCGGGUUGUAAACUUCUUUUCUAUGGAAAGAUAAUGACGGUACCAUAGGAAUAAGCCACGGCUAACUACGUGCCAGCAGCCGCGGUAAUACGUAGGUGGCAAGCGUUAUCCGGAAUUACUGGGUGUAAAGGGCGCGUAGGCGGGACUAUAAGUCCGAUGUGAAAUACCGUGGCUCAACCACGGGGCUGCAUUGGAAACUAUGGUUCUUGAGUGAUGGAGAGGCAGGCGGAAUUCCGUGUGUAGCGGUGGAAUGCAUAGAUAUACGGAGGAACACCAGUGGCGAAGGCGGCCUGCUGGACAUUAACUGACGCUGAGGCGCGAAAGCGUGGGGAGCAAACA